AAAGAAGAAGAGGACGAGGAGGAUGAAGAUGUGGAAUCGUUCUUGCCCUUCUUCUUUUUCCGAUGUUUCCUUUUCUUUUUCUUUUUCUUGCUGCACU
rnacentral:ribozyme from 10 species